GUACACGCUGUGACUAGCAUAUCAAUAAGCGGAGGAAAAGAAACUAACAAGGAUUCCCCUAGUAACGGCGAGUGAAGCGGGAAGAGCUCAAAUUUGAAAUCUUAAAGGGUUUCCCUUUACGAAUUGUAGUUUAAAGAAGUGGUUUCUGUUGAGGUUUUGGUAAAAGUUCUUUGGAAUAGGACAUCAUAGAGGGUGAGAAUCCCGUAUUUGACCUUUACUUUCAACUUUGUGAUACACUUUCAAAGAGUCGGAUUGUUUGGGAAUGCAGUCCAAAAUGGGUGGUAAAUUUCAUCUAAAGCUAAAUAUUGGCGAGAGACCGAUAGCGAACAAGUACCGUGAGGGAAAGAUGAAAAGAACUUUGAAAAGAGAGUUAAACAGUACGUGAAAUUGUCAAAAGGGAAGCGUUUGACACCAGUGUUGUUUUUCUGAAAAUCAAUUAAAGAACUGUUUAUGCUAAGCUGUUUAGACUUUAUCAGCUAAUCUGUUUAGUUUUGAGCUUUUCUUUAAUGCACUUUUCAGUUAACAAGUCAACAUCAAUUUCUUUUGCUGUAAAAAAGCUUGAGGAAGGUGGCUUGAGAUUCGUCUUAAGUGUUUAUAGCCUCUUGCCUAUGCAGUCGGAGAGAUUGAGGUCUGCAGCGUAGAUCCUUCGGGGCUAAAUGCAUUUGUGCUAAGUUAUAGCAUUUUAUAGACAACUUGUUGACUAUGAUUUGUCUUGUAGCUUACUCGCUUAUGUUAUUUACCUACGCUUAGGAUGUUGACGCGCGUGUGUGCGUG
rnacentral:rRNA from 1 species